UCCUGGUUAGCUCAGUUGGUAGAGCGCUCUAGUGGAGUUGGAGCGGUCCCUCGUUCGAUAACAGGACCCGGCG
rnacentral:tRNA from 1 species